rnacentral:rRNA from 1 species
AACGAACGCUGGCGGCAUGCCUAGCACAUGCAAGUCGAACGAGACCUUCGGGUCUAGUGGCGCACGGGUGCGUAACGCGUGGGAACCUGCCCUUAGGUUCGGAAUAACUCCCCGAAAGGGGUGCUAAUACCGGAUAAUGUCUUCGGACCAAAGAUUUAUCGCCUUUGGAUGGGCCCGCGUUGGAUUAGCUAGUUGGUAGGGUAAAAGCCUACCAAGGCGACGAUCCAUAGCUGGUCUGAGAGGAUGAUCAGCCACACUGGGACUGAGACACAGCCCAGACUCCUACGGGAGGCAGCAGUGGGGAAUAUUGGACAAUGGGCGAAAGCCUGAUCCAGCAAUGCCGCGUGAGUGAUGAAGGCCUUAGGGUUGUAAAGCUCUUUUACCCGGGAUGAUAAUGACAGUACCGGGAGAAUAAGCUCCGGCUAACUCCGUG